UACGGAGGGUGCAAGCGUUAUCCGGAUUCACUGGGUUUAAAGGGUGCGUAGGUGGGUAGGUAAGUCAGCGGUGAAAUCCCCGAGCUUAACUUGGGAACUGCCAUUGAUACUAUCUGUCUUGAAUACCUUGGAGGUGAGCGGAAUAUGUCAUGUAGCGGUGAAAUGCUUAGAUAUGACAUAGAACACCAAUUGCGAAGGCAGCUUACUACACAGAAAUUGACACUGAGGCACGAAAGCGUGGGGAUCAAACAGG
rnacentral:rRNA from 1 species